AAGAAAAAGGGCCUUAUCCGAUCGAUGGGCCGACCCUUUACCGGCUGCCGGCAGGGUCCCUGUAUAUAAAAGAAAAGAAAAAUAAAAAAACCUAACCUAAUUCCCACUCUCACGCGACUCUCCCUCUCCCUCUCUCUCCCUCUCUCUCUCUCUCUCUGCCGCUCCCUCUCCGCUCGCUCUUCCUCUCCCUCCCUCUCUGUGCCGCUCUCUCUCCCUCUCGCGCGCGCUCCCUCUCUCUGCUUCUUCUUCUCCGUCUCCGGCCCUAUCCCUCUCCCUCUCUCUCUCUCUCUCUCUCUCUCUCUCUCUCUCUCUCUCUCUCUCCUCGGCCCUCUGCUGCAACAUCAUGUAUCUCUCUCUCCGCUCAAUCUACCACACAUCAAGGAGCAUUCUGCUGCAACAUCAGGGUUUUGACUGCCGAUUUGGAGGUUUUGGUGUUAACUACAAUAUUCCCUGGUGGCCCUUUGAUGAUGGACUAGCCAGUGUAUCUAGUAGAGAUAGGUUUUGGUAUAUACUUUCUUUUUCAUUAUCUUAUUCUUUAAUGGACGUUCCUCUCUUUUCACCAACAGUAAUUUGGUGGCUAGCUUUCCAUAUACAGAAAAAGAUCAGUGAGCUUACGCAUCCUUCUAAUUUGCAUUUUGUAUUUUUGGGAAUGCCAAUUACUUUGCUAAGAAAUGAUAUAAAUACAUGAAUCUAAAAUUUCAUGCCUUUUUUUGUAGGCUUGCAGAAUGCUUUACAGGGAACUACCCCUAUUCUGGGAAAGCAAAGAGUAAGUAUAAAGAUCAGGAACUGUGGCUUUUGUCUGUCGAAAUUAUAUAGCCAUGUAAUUUUUACUCAUGGUAUCUGAGGAAAUUUCUUUAUGUUUUGACUCUACAUGCAAAUAAAUUUGAAUUCCAUGCAUUUGCAGACUAUGAAUAAUUCAUAAAUUGUGGUAGUGAGGCACUACAUUGAUCAGAUCAAACAAUGCUAACCAUCUGACCACAGAUACAACUAGUGUUUAAAAGUGAAUGAUAAAAAAAACAGAGAAACAGAUCUUGAGAUGGUUGAGUGAUGAAGACGAGAAACUGAAAGCAACCAAUAAGCAAAAUACACAUAUUUUAACAUUUCAUUAUCGAAGCUGAAAGGAGAUUACCUUUCUGGCAGUUGCCAUGUGACCUUGGUAAUAUUUUCUAGAGAAAUUCCCUUUUUUUUUUUUUUUGUUCUUUUUUCUAUUUCUUUUUUUCUUCUUAUGCAGAUCUAGUUUGAUUUGGGAAUGGAUUGAGAAAAUACCAUCAUAGAAGAAGGAAAAAAAAAUGACGGGUUCUGUUAUGUGCACCUCAGAAAAAAAAUGACGUAGUGAUUUGGGCAUUACAGCUGAUUUAUUGUUAAAUGUUGGCCAUUGGUUGAGACUUUUUAACCAUCUGUUUGUAAUUAUUGAAAGUCUUCUAGUGGCUAGGAUCACCUAACGUUGUGGUUUUCUGGGGUACGGCUAGAAGAAUGGUCCAAAUCUCAUGCAUGGCAUCACAUGUUUGGAGAAGUAUUGCUGGACAACUAACUAUGAUGCAAGUGUCGAAAUUGGUUCCUUUCUCAACUUGUUCAAUGCAAAAGCUUGUUAAGUCUGAAACGAGCCCUGUUUUUUUAUAGUGUUUGGUAUGCUUCAGUAUAGUCAUAUGCAUUAGUUUUUAAUUUCUCUAUGAUCCAUUUGGUAUAGUCAUAUGCAUUUAAUUUAUUUGUUUCAAUGGACAUUGCUCUUGUCAUGUGGCAUGUUAUUAACAUAUACUCACAGAGAUAGGAAUUUCCUGAAUAAUCGGCCAUUCAAUAUACAUUGUGAUAUGUAGUCAUAUGAUUUGCUGACUUCCAAUUGCAGGGAAAAAAAACCCACCUGAAUUGACUGAAUUAGUUAUCUUGUUUAGCUUAAUAUCCACAUUUUUAUUGUAACCUGAUGUUAUAGAUGUGUGUGUGUGUGUAUGAUUGUAAGUGCCAUUGAUUUGACAGGGAUUUUGGUGUCUUUCUUUGCAACCAUUAUUUAUUAAUGUUUUCACAUACUAAUACCUAUUUGAUUUGUGAUUAGUGUAUUUGUGUUUGGAUGUAUUAUGCUUAAUUAAAGUGAAACCAAUAGUUUAGAGUAGAGGCUUAAAACAAACUGUUUCUCCAUGUUUAUUUUGCUCCUAGUCUGGUCACUCUUCAUCUAGAGAGGAAUUGCACUUGUAGCAUUUACAAUUAUAAAAGGAGUUUCA